AUUGAACGCUGGCGGCAGGCCUAACACAUGCAAGUCGAACGGUAACAGGAAACAGCUUGCUGUUUCGCUGACGAGUGGCGGACGGGUGAGUAAUGUCUGGGAAACUGCCUGAUGGAGGUGGAUAACUACUGGAAACGGUAGCUAAUACCGCAUAACGUCGCAAGACCAAAGAGGGGGACCCUCGGGCCUCUUGCCAUCGGAUGUGCCCAGAUGGGAUUAGCUUGUUGGUGGGGUAACGGCUCACCAAGGCGACGAUCCCUAGCUGGUCUGAGAGGAUGACCAGCCACACUGGAACUGAGACACGGUCCAGACUCCUACGGGAGGCAGCAGUGGGGAAUAUUGCACAAUGGGCGCAAGCCUGAUGCAGCCAUGCCGCGUGUAUGAAGAAGGCCUUCGGGUUGUAAAGUACUUUCAGCGGGGAGGAAGGGAGUAAAGUUAAUACCUUUGCUCAUUGACGUUACCCGCAGAAGAAGCACCGGCUAACUCCGU
rnacentral:rRNA from 1 species